rnacentral:rRNA from 1 species
GUGGGGAAUCUUGCGCAAUGGGCGAAAGCCUGACGCAGCCAUGCCGCGUGAAUGAUGAAGGUCUUAGGAUUGUAAAAUUCUUUCACCGGGGACGAUAAUGACGGUACCCGGAGAAGAAGCUCCGGCUAACUUCGUGCCAGCAGCCGCGGUAAUACGAAGGGGGCUAGCGUUGCUCGGAAUUACUGGGCGUAAAGGGCGCGUAGGCGGACAGCUUAGUCAGAGGCGAAAGCCCAGGGCUCAACCUUGGAAUUGCCUUUGAUACUGGCUGUCUUGAGUUUGGGAGAGGUGAGUGGAACUCCGAGUGUAGAGGUGAAAUUCGUAGAUAUUCGGAAGAACACCAGUGGCGAAGGCGACUCACUGGCCCAAUACUGACGCUGAGGCGCGAAAGCGUGGGGAGCAAACAGGAUUAGAUACCCCAGUAGUCC